rnacentral:rRNA from 1 species
AACGAACGCUGGCGGCAUGCCUAACACAUGCAAGUCGAACGAGACCUUCGGGUCUAGUGGCGCACGGGUGCGUAACGCGUGGGAACCUGCCCUUAGGUUCGGAAUAACUCCCCGAAAGGGGUGCUAAUACCGGAUAAUGUCUUCGGACCAAAGAUUUAUCGCCUUUGGAUGGGCCCGCGUUGGAUUAGCUAGUUGGUAGGGUUAAAGCCUACCAAGGCGACGAUCCAUAGCUGGUCUGAGAGGAUGAUCAGCCACACUGGGACUGAGACACGGCCCAGACUCCUACGGGAGGCAGCAGUGGGGAAUAUUGGACAAUGGGCGAAAGCCUGAUCCAGCAAUGCCGCGUGAGUGAUGAAGGCCUUAGGGUUGUAAAGCUCUUUUACCCGGGAUGAUAAUGACAGUACCGGGAGAAUAAGCUCCGGCCAACUCCGU